rnacentral:rRNA from 1 species
CCCUAAACUCAGAUUCCACAACCCACAUAAAGAAUCCGCCAGAGAACUACAAACCAAACGUUUAAAACUCAAAGGACUUGGCGGUGCUNCAAACCCACCUAGAGGAGCCUGUUCUAUAAUCGAUAAUCCACGAUCUACCUCACCAUCUCUAGCCCACAGCCUAUAUACCUCCGUCUACAGCUUACCCUAUGAAGGGAUAAAAGUAAGCAUAAUAGUUAACACAACUAACAAGUCAGGUCAAGGUGUAGCCAACUGAAAUGGAAGAAAUGGGCUACAUUUUCUAUAUUAGAAUUAACUCACGGAAAGAGCCCUGAAAACAUUGCUCUAAAAGCAGGAUUUAUCAGUAAUAUGAGAAUAGAGAGCUCAUAUUAACAAGGACCUGACAGC